rnacentral:rRNA from 1 species
UACGUAGGGUGCGAGCGUUGUCCGGAAUUACUGGGCGUAAAGAGCUCGUAGGUGGUUUGUCGCGUUGUUCGUGAAAUCUCACGGCUUAACUGUGAGCGUGCGGGCGAUACGGGCAGACUGGAGUACUGCAGGGGAGACUGGAAUUCCUGGUGUAGCGGUGAAAUGCGCAGAUAUCAGGAAGAACACCCGUGGCUAAGGCGGCUCUCUAGUACGGUACUGACGCUGAGACGCGAAAGCGUGGGGAGCGAACAGG